rnacentral:rRNA from 1 species
GGGUUGUGAGGUUAAGCGACUAAGCGUACACGGUGGAUGCCCUGGCAGUCAGAGGCGAUGAAGGACGUGCUAAUCUGCGAUAAGCGUCGGUAAGGUGAUAUGAACCGUUAUAACCGGCGAUUUCCGAAUGGGGAAACCCAGUGUGUUUCGACACACUAUCAUUAACUGAAUCCAUAGGUUAAUGAGGCGAACCGGGGGAACUGAAACAUCUAAGUACCCCGAGGAAAAGAAAUCAACCGAGAUUCCCCCAGUAGCGGCGAGCGAACGGGGAGCAGCCCAGAGCCUGAAUCAGUGUGUGUGUUAGUGGAAGCGUCUGGAAAGGCGCGCGAUACAGGGUGACAGCCCCGUACACAAAAAUGCACAUGCUGUGAGCUCGAUGAGUAGGGCGGGACACGUGGUAUCCUGUCUGAAUAUGGGGGGACCAUCCUCCAAGGCUAAAUACUCCUGACUGACCGAUAGUGAACCAGUACCGUGAGGGAAAGGCGAAAAGAACCCCGGCGAGGGGAGUGAAAAAGAACCUGAAACCGUGUACGUACAAGCAGUGGGAGCACGCUUAGGCGUGUGACUGCGUACCUUUUGUAUAAUGGGUCAGCGACUUAUAUUCUGUAGCAAGGUUAACCGAAUAGGGGAGCCGAAGGGAAACCGAGUCUUAACUGGGCGUUAAGUUGCAGGGUAUAGACCCGAAACCCGGUGAUCUAGCCAUGGGCAGGUUGAAGGUUGGGUAACACUAACUGGAGGACCGAACCGACUAAUGUUGAAAAAUUAGCGGAUGACUUGUGGCUGGGGGUGAAAGGCCAAUCAAACCGGGAGAUAGCUGGUUCUCCCCGAAAGCUAUUUAGGUAGCGCCUCGUGAAUUCAUCUCCGGGGGUAGAGCACUGUUUCGGCAAGGGGGUCAUCCCGACUUACCAACCCGAUGCAAACUGCGAAUACCGGAGAAUGUUAUCACGGGAGACACACGGCGGGUGCUAACGUCCGUCGUGAAGAGGGAAACAACCCAGACCGCCAGCUAAGGUCCCAAAGUCAUGGUUAAGUGGGAAACGAUGUGGGAAGGCCCAGACAGCCAGGAUGUUGGCUUAGAAGCAGCCAUCAUUUAAAGAAAGCGUAAUAGCUCACUGGUCGAGUCGGCCUGCGCGGAAGAUGUAACGGGGCUAAACCAUGCACCGAAGCUGCGGCAGCGACGCUGAUGCGUUGUUGGGUAGGGGAGCGUUCUGUAAGCCUGCGAAGGUGUGCUGUGAGGCAUGCUGGAGGUAUCAGAAGUGCGAAUGCUGACAUAAGUAACGAUAAAGCGGGUGAAAAGCCCGCUCGCCGGAAGACCAAGGGUUCCUGUCCAACGUUAAUCGGGGCAGGGUGAGUCGACCCCUAAGGCGAGGCCGAAAGGCGUAGUCGAUGGGAAACAGGUUAAUAUUCCUGUACUUGGUGUUACUGCGAAGGGGGGACGGAGAAGGCUAUGUUGGCCGGGCGACGGUUGUCCCGGUUUAAGCGUGUAGGCUGGUUUUCCAGGCAAAUCCGGAAAAUCAAGGCUGAGGCGUGAUGACGAGGCACUACGGUGCUGAAGCAACAAAUGCCCUGCUUCCAGGAAAAGCCUCUAAGCAUCAGGUAACAUCAAAUCGUACCCCAAACCGACACAGGUGGUCAGGUAGAGAAUACCAAGGCGCUUGAGAGAACUCGGGUGAAGGAACUAGGCAAAAUGGUGCCGUAACUUCGGGAGAAGGCACGCUGAUAUGUAGGUGAAGUCCCUCGCGGAUGGAGCUGAAAUCAGUCGAAGAUACCAGCUGGCUGCAACUGUUUAUUAAAAACACAGCACUGUGCAAACACGAAAGUGGACGUAUACGGUGUGACGCCUGCCCGGUGCCGGAAGGUUAAUUGAUGGGGUUAGCGCAAGCGAAGCUCUUGAUCGAAGCCCCGGUAAACGGCGGCCGUAACUAUAACGGUCCUAAGGUAGCGAAAUUCCUUGUCGGGUAAGUUCCGACCUGCACGAAUGGCGUAAUGAUGGCCAGGCUGUCUCCACCCGAGACUCAGUGAAAUUGAACUCGCUGUGAAGAUGCAGUGUACCCGCGGCAAGACGGAAAGACCCCGUGAACCUUUACUAUAGCUUGACACUGAACAUUGAGCCUUGAUGUGUAGGAUAGGUGGGAGGCUUUGAAGUGUGGACGCCAGUCUGCAUGGAGCCGACCUUGAAAUACCACCCUUUAAUGUUUGAUGUUCUAACGUUGACCCGUAAUCCGGGUUGCGGACAGUGUCUGGUGGGUAGUUUGACUGGGGCGGUCUCCUCCUAAAGAGUAACGGAGGAGCACGAAGGUUGGCUAAUCCUGGUCGGACAUCAGGAGGUUAGUGCAAUGGCAUAAGCCAGCUUGACUGCGAGCGUGACGGCGCGAGCAGGUGCGAAAGCAGGUCAUAGUGAUCCGGUGGUUCUGAAUGGAAGGGCCAUCGCUCAACGGAUAAAAGGUACUCCGGGGAUAACAGGCUGAUACCGCCCAAGAGUUCAUAUCGACGGCGGUGUUUGGCACCUCGAUGUCGGCUCAUCACAUCCUGGGGCUGAAGUAGGUCCCAAGGGUAUGGCUGUUCGCCAUUUAAAGUGGUACGCGAGCUGGGUUUAGAACGUCGUGAGACAGUUCGGUCCCUAUCUGCCGUGGGCGCUGGAGAACUGAGGGGGGCUGCUCCUAGUACGAGAGGACCGGAGUGGACGCAUCACUGGUGUUCGGGUUGUCAUGCCAAUGGCACUGCCCGGUAGCUAAAUGCGGAAGAGAUAAGUGCUGAAAGCAUCUAAGCACGAAACUUGCCCCGAGAUGAGUUCUCCCUGAC